UUACACACGUAGUCGUCACCGCCACUAAAUUCCGCUCCGUCUACGCAUUCCGGAUGGUAAAGACAGAGGCAGACGCGGCAUUGAAGACUCGGGAUUAGCCCCAUGCUCGAAGAACAACGUAUACUGCACGGUUCCUGGACCUUGGCCCUGCAAGAUGUGCGCCGGUUCGAGGAUGGGGAUUUGGGAAUUACAAGAGAAUGAACAAAAAAAUAUAUAUAAAAAUAUAUUUUGUAGGAGGAAUAGAAUGGGAGUUCAGGAGUGAAAUUCAGGAGAACAGGGGAAGGCUUCUCAACAGCAGGUUGACUCCUUCUCGCUGUUGGAGAACUCCAUUGUGGCGGUAACAUUUCACUUUCUUCGACCGGGGGUUUAGUCUCAACCA
rnacentral:misc_RNA from 1 species